GGCUGCUCCAAGGCAGGGAGGUGUGUGCGUGCCUGGAUGUGUGGCAUCAGGUACUCUUUGGCAUCGAGAGAGUUAAAGGUGCUCGGCACCCACCAGCUCUGGUCUAGGCAGUGUCUAAAAUCAGUCCUAGACCCGCUUUAUUUUUUCCUUAAAAACAGGAAAUGGAGCCCUGAAGGCUUUUUAACUGGAGAGGGAGAGUGAGGAGGGGGUAUACUCACUCUGCCCAUACCCAGCCCUGAGCCUGACCCAGACCUGGGGGUCUCUGUGUGUGUUUUUUUUAUUCCUUCUCCUUUUUUUUUUUCCCCCUAUUAUUUUGGCAGACUUUUUGGAAUGUCUGGGAGCUAAGGGCUUUGCUUCAUGGAGCAGAAUUCUGAAGCAAGAAAAAGAGAAAGUUAUAGACUAAACCACAGAAAUGGACUACUGGGUUUUGUGCUGCGGACGGCGGCGCCGGGCGCUGAGCGCUGGCGGAGAGCGAUGGCCGGGGAAGGUCGGGGACAAGCGGAGCCCCGGUAAGGAGCCCCGGAGCGAGGGACGGGAUGCGACGGGGACAAGAAACAGGGACGGGACAGGGACAGGAGACGGGGACAGGGACAAGAAACGGGGACAGGGACAAGAGACGGGGACAAGAGACGGGGACUGGGACAACAGACGGGGACAGGGACAAGAGACAGGGAGACGGGGACAGGGACAAGAAACGGGGACAGGGACAAGAGACGGGGACUGGGACAAGAGGCAGGGACAGGGACAAGAGUCAGGGAGAAGAGACGGGGACUGGGACAAGAAACGGGGACUGGGACAAGAGGCAGGGACAGGGACAAGAGGCAGGGACAGGGACAAGAGACGGGGACAGGGACAAGAGACGGGGACUGGGACAAGAGGCAGGGACAGGAUGGGGCGCACCGCCUGGGUUUGCUGCCAGGUGCGAGGCUAGUGCUGCGGGUCCCCUCUCCAUCCCCCUGGGAGAUGGGGCUGCAGUCACCGCACCGGCCUCCUCUGCUUUCCUCCCCCC
rnacentral:lncRNA from 1 species